AAUAUUUGAAGUUCAAACUAUUUUUUUUUGUUUUUGUACGUGAUGAUAUAAUGUUAUUGAACAACUUUCUGAACUUUCAGGCCACAAGCUGGAGAGAUUAAAAAGAUUGUUCAAAAUAUAAUGAAUAUAUUGGAUUGUAAAUCUUCAUUCAUUUCAAAAGAUUUAGUUGGGAUAAAUUCUCGGA
rnacentral:pre_miRNA from 1 species